rnacentral:rRNA from 1 species
GACGAACGCUGGCGGCGUGCCUAAUACAUGCAAGUAGAACGCACAGUUUAUACCGUAGCUUGCUCCACCAUAGACUGUGAGUUGCGAACGGGUGAGUAACGCGUAGGUAACCUGCCUGGUAGCGGGGGAUAACUAUUGGAAACGAUAGCUAAUACCGCAUAAUAUUAAUUAUUGCAUGAUAAUUAAUUGAAAGGUGCAAUUGCACCACUACCAGAUGGACCUGCGUUGUAUUAGCUAGUAGGUGAGGUAACGGCUCACCUAGGCGACGAUACAUAGCCGACCUGAGAGGGUGAUCGGCCGCACUGGGACUGAGACACGGCCCAGACUCCUACGGGAGGCAGCAGUAGGGAAUCUUCGGCAAUGGACGAAAGUCUGACCGAGCAACGCCGCGUGAGUGAAGAAGGUUUUCGGAUCGUAAAGCUCUGUUGUAAGAGAAGAACGGGUGUGAGAGUGGAAAGUUCACACUGUGACGGUAUCUUACCAGAAAGGGACGGCUAACUACGUG